UACAGAGGGUGCAAGCGUUGCUCGGAUUUACUGGGCGUAAAGCGUACGCAGACGGUGAGAAAGGUCGGAUGUGAAAGCCCCGGGCUCAACCCGGGAACUGCAUCCGAAACCAUCUCGCUCGAGUGUGGGAGAGGGAAGCGGAAUUCCUGGUGUAGAGGUGAAAUUCGUAGAUAUCAGGAGGAACACCGGCGGCGAAGGCGGCGGCCUGGCCCAUUACUGACGUUCAGGUACGAAAGCGUGGGUAGCAAACAGG
rnacentral:rRNA from 1 species